GUAGAGACAGGGUUUCGCCAUGUUGCCUAGGCUGGUCUCCAACCUGGUCUCCUGGGCUCAAGCGAUCCGCCCGCCUCGGCCUCCCACAGUGCUGGGAUUCCAGGCGUGAGCUACCGCGCCCGGCCUAUUUACUUUUCUUACUAAGCUGGGGAUCACCGUCGCCCUCGGCUUGGCAGGAAGGCGGGGGUAGGGGAGCGGUGGGAAAGGGGGGUGGGCGACGACUCUGAUAGAGGGAAAAGAGGAAGGGAAAGUUGGGGCUUACUGCAGGGCAAGCUCCUUAGGAGAAGGUGGGGAGGAGGAAGGAGGGAGGUCCAGGCCCUUCUUCCAUCCCACGUCCUCCACUUCCCAAGGUGCAAGAAGAAAAGAGGUACAGAACACCCAGAGGUGCCCUCGAUUCCGUCUUGCACUUGCCCUUCUCCCACCGUCCAGCAAUAAAGCGAGAGAAACAAGUGCAGGAAACUGGCCGGCAGUCAUGGGAGAAGCCAAAAAGACAGGCUGGAGUGCAGCGGCAUGAUCUCGGCACACUGCAGCCACCGUCUUCCAGGUUCAAGCGAUUCUCCCACCUCAGCCUCCCGAGGAGCUGGGAUUACAGGAGUUCAGUGGCAUGACCAGGGCUCACUGCAACCUUGAUCUGGGCUCAAGUGAUCCUCCUACCUCAGCUUCCUGAGUAGCUAGGACCACAGGUGUGCACCAACCACACCCGACUAAUUUUUGUAGAGAUGAGAUCCCACUAUGUUACCCAGGCUGGUCUUGAACUCCUGGGCUCAGGUGAUCAUCCUGCCUUGGCUUCCCAAAGUACUGGGAUUAUAGGCUUGAGCCACCGUGCCUGGCCUGUGAUCAGAAUUCUCAUUUUUUUAGUCACUAAAAAUGCUGGGGGGCACUCCAUUCUCCAUUAUGUGAUUAGUUCACAUUGCAUGCUUGUAUCAAAACAUCAUAUAUACCCCACAAAUAUAUACAAAAAACUUUAAAAUUUU
rnacentral:lncRNA from 10 species